GAAAGAAAACUAUUAAGCAGGAGAAUACAAUACAAUGCAGUACCAGUCCACUGCUCUGUUUUGUAGACUGUCUACAAUAUAUAAACUGUAUCUCUGACACAGGUUAAAGAAUUUCCACUGACUUCAAAGAAAGUUCUGACUUAGCAGGGAAAGCAGAACCAAACUCUUUCUCAUCUGUUGAAUUGUUCCAUGAAGGAAUUAAUUCACUCAGAAGGAAGUUCAGACUAACAGGUUUUUUUUAAAGAAUCUUUUCCAAAGCACCAUUUGAAAAACCAACUCUUGUCCCACCCACUGCCUGAGAACAACAUCCCCCACCCACCCUGGAGUGAUAAGACCAGGACAGACCUGUUCCUUAACAUUACUCAUCCAGGGUCAGGGACAUCAGGCACAAACAGAAGGUGAGUUUGCAGCCCUCCUGGUAACAGCUCUAAUCGGAAGACAAAGGCAUUUCACAGCCAAGAUGACCUGCAUUUCCUACAUAUUGGCUUUUGCCCUUUACCUGGGAUGUUCAGUGGACCCGGUGACAGCUGCAUCAUGUCCUGCGCCUGGCGUUCCGAUAAACGAAACAGAAGUUUGUGAGAACAGAACCAGUAAUGAUGUCGGAGGGUCCUCCAGUUUCACUCAUUUAAUCUGUGACAAUCUACACCACCUGUCGGCGUGGAACAGUUCCUUUAUUAGCGCUGCGUUUG